GCGGCGGCCGCCGCAGCCGGAGGCGGAUUCCUCAGAUAGGCGACUACAUCUCUGGAAGCAGCAGCUCCAUGCUGGAUGUGGUGGAAGAAUCGAGAGGGAAUGGACUGGAAGUUUGGAAUCACCGGAAAAUAACAAGGCAUAGCUAAGCUGUGACUAGCAAGAUAAACGAUUUGUUCGAGGUUUGAUUGUCCUUUCCCUCCUCCACUCGGAAGACAUAGUUGUCUUUUUUUAAAUCAUGUUUUGUACCGAAAUAUUUUUAUUUUAUAAUUGAAUCCCUGUUGUUGGGCCUUUAAAAACCCAUAGAAACAUUGUUAUGUGCCACGAAGGUGGGAAACACGGCUUUCUCAGUCAUUGCUGUACUCCCACAAUUCUGGGUCAUGCACACAAUACAGGUUUAGUAAA
rnacentral:lncRNA from 1 species